rnacentral:rRNA from 1 species
UACGAAGGGGGCUAGCGUUGUUCGGAAUCACUGGGCGUAAAGGGCGCGUAGGCGGCUUUAUAAGUCGGGGGUGAAAGCCUGUGCUCAACCACAGAAUUGCCUUCGAUACUGUAUGGCUUGAGACCGGAAGAGGUAAGUGGAACUGCGAGUGUAGAGGUGAAAUUCGUAGAUAUUCGCAAGAACACCAGUGGCGAAGGCGGCUCACUGGCCCAUUACUGACGCUGAGGCACGAAAGCGUGGGGAGCAAACAGGG